UGGGGAAUACACUAUGGAUUUCUCAAUUACCCUAUCAUUUACCCAUCUCACUUCACUUUGUCGCGUUAUUUUGCCCUUUGUCUCUCUCUAAAUUUCGUAUCCCUCUCCAUACAACACACAAAUCUACAAUCGAUCGACCUAGCCCUCUUCUACAAGAUCCUUUUGGCGCACGAUUAAGGUUCAAUUCAGGUAAUAAUCCUAUGCAAUCGGUCAACCUAUCCCUUUUAGGUAACGAUUUCGAACAUGAUAUUUUCUUCAAUUUGUAAAUUAUACCUGCUGAAUUUUUUGUACGAGUAUAUGGUUGUAUGAAUCUGCCCUAACAGUUUCCUUCAUCUUGCCAAAUUAGCUCUCUACCUUGUUUGAAUCGUAGUUUUUUUUUCUCUUCAUCUGUCUUUAAUAGUAGAGAAUUUUGAACUUUGUUGUUCAUUAUUUUUAGGGCUUUUUAGAACUUUUUGAACAUUCAGUGUGGGGUAGGAUUUUGAAUUUUGUUCAAAGUGUUGUUGCCUUUAAUUUACUACUGUUUUUAAGGUAAAUAUCUUACUAAUGUGUACUUGUUUCUUUAAUUUACUGAGGGUUUAAAAAUUAUCUUAGUGUUGGUUUUGGCUUCUUAAAUAUUGCAAGCUAGGUGUUUGUUAAAAUAACUUAAAGAAUCAAAAAUCUAGCAUCUUGUCAUUUCUAUGUGCAUAUACUUUUUAGGAUGCAAGUAAGAAAAUCUGCUGUAAUGCCACAAAAUUAAUAAAUUUAUUAUGCUGACAGAUAAAAUGAUGAUGUUCAAUGUCCACUAUAAUUUGGGGCAAUUUUUUUUAACUAUUAGUCUGUAGGAAUAUCUUAAAAUUGAAAUUAUAGCUCCGCAAACUUGCUCCAUAUGAUUCUUGCACUCUAAAACGCUUUUGUAGAGGCCAUGGUGGUAUUUAAAGGCAAUGUAUAUUUGAGGAGCCAAGCCCACAACCUUCUUACAAUAUAAGCCCGGAUGGUCAUCCACAUGAUAGAGAAUAUUACCUCAUAUCCCUUUUUGUUGUUCCUAGGCAUUUUUAUUUGAUAUAGUGCAUGUUGACAGUUGUGAUAUGGUGCAUGUUGAUAGUUGUGAAUGUAUUAAAAUAAUUGACAAAGUUGGAUUGCCUGUUUGAUGCACUAGUAAAGUGUCUUGUCUGCUCUAUUCGAGGAAAUAAAAUCUUCAAUAUAUGUGAAAUAGUCAGAGACUCGGAACAAACAAGAAUCUCCCCUGCAUUUUAGCUGAUAACAGGACUUCUUUUCUUAAAUAGUUAGCUAGCCUUGUUUUCAAGGUCUAUGCGUCCCAUAAUCUUUAGUAUCGUUAUUAAUGUGUGCUUGUUUAUAAAAUUUUUCAACAUUAUAAUAUUGAAGCAAGCGAGCCUACUAAUCUGCAACUUUGACUUAUUGUUUAUACCAUACUCUGUUUUUUCCAAGUCAUUUUGUAAUGAACCAAAGACCGCUGGAAGGAUGUUUUAUGAUCUUGAGCUGUUGAAAAUUGUUCUUUCUGAAGAAGCUUGUUAAUAAUGUUGUUCUAUUGCUUACCUUUAUAAGUUUUGUGGUAUAUCUUUAAAUUAUCUGGUAAUUAGUCACCUUUUUUCAAGCAGAUUAUACCAUGAAUUUUUGAAAUCUUUUUGACAGAGUCGACCGAACCCCAUUGUCAGUUCGUCAUAGCCGCCUCAUUUAUAUUUCUGAUUUUGCUAUAGACAUUUUCAGUGUUAGUUCAACUUAUCUUAAGCAAUCCAAACUAUUCCCCAAUAAGUGUUUGAUUUCUAAUAUCCUAAUAUUUUGUUUCUGUUCAACUGAUUUUGUAGUAGCAGUUGAUAGAUACUUUGAAGGCCCAGUUUGUUGCUUACCAAGUACUUCAUAAGGAGUUAGCAGCGAAGUUGACCAAAUUGACAGAAUUAGUUGAGAAUCAACAGGUACAAAAAGGGCAAGUUAUUGAUGUUGAAGUUUAUGUUUUUAUUUCAAUUUUGUUCAUUAAAAAUUAUUAAUAACACAAAAAUUGGAUAAUAAACUUUAGUUUCCUCUCCAGCUUUUUAAUUAUUUUUUGAAAUUACUAUCCUUUUUUAUUUUCUUAGUCUUGAGGGUGAGUAUAGUUUUUUUUGGAACAAUGAAACUUGGCUUUAAGGCACUUCCUAGCAAUAUCAAGGCACUUUUAGCUGCACAUGAUGAUUCAUCAAGAAUUGACCAGUGGAGCAUUUCAGGCCUUCGGACACCAAAGUAUAAUAUUUCAACUCUAAAAAUGAAGCUUGCAGAAGAUGAUAACUUGGAUGUGAACUAUGCUGAUGAUAUAAUUUUAUUUAAUUGUUGAAAAUAAAAAUUUUAUUUUAAAUAAUAAUUUGUAUGUUAUUUGCAAUACAAAAUAUAAGACUUUUUUUGUUGAAUAGAUCACAAAUGCUAGAGUGACACUUCUUUGUUCUGCAAUUUGUUUAUUUAAAUUUGUUCUUAGUUAAUUUAUGACAUCCUAAAAUUCAAAUUAUAAUGUCAAUUUAUUUAUUGUUUUCAAAUAUUAAUUUUAUUUUUAAAAUACUUCUUAAAUAAUAUAAAUAUCAAUAUCAAUGUAAAAGGUUAAACGAUGUCGUGGGUUAACAGCGGUGUGAUACAAAUUGUUUUUUUCCUCUUUCUUAAAUAGUCCAAAUCUGUCGUUUGCUUUUUUGUUUCAGAUAGAAAGACAAGUUCAUUCUCUUUUUAUUCUUCAAUCGAUCCCACCGCCUAGCUUCGCUCGCCUCUCGUGUCCUCCAUCACAGGUUCAUGUCCCUUUUCUCUCUCCUCUAUCUCAUACAUCUAUCCUCUGAAAUUGAUUUUCAUUUUCUAGGAUAAUUUUUUUCUUUUGCUGCUCUCUUUCAAUUCAGUAAGACAUCUAAUAUCAGUUUAUUUAUUUGUAAUUUUUCACUUGGUUCAUCCAUUUGUGCUCAAUCAAAUCUGAUUUUGGUUAUAUGUGGUGAUUUUGGUGCUCAGUCAAUUUUAAUUUUGGAUAUAUGUGCACCAAAUGUUUGAUGUAUUGUCCAUCUGUUGCACUAGCUUGUACAUUAUAGCUACAAAUUUAAUGUCAGCAUAACCCUCCCAAUUUUAAAUUUAAGUAUAAACUUAAUCCAUUUCAUUUGGAUACUCUGAACCAUGUUUUGGAAUUGAUUUGUCUAAUGUGAACUUUUAUUUGUAAAACUCUAUAUGCCCAAACUUAAUUAUGAAGCAGACGUUUGGUUGACCAUAAAUUUGUAAUUGUUUCAGCUUUUUAAAUGUAAAUAUCUAAUUCUUUGUUAUUAUAUUAUUAAUUAUACAACUUUAACAUUCUUUAACAUUAUAUACACCCGGAGAACUUGAAUGGUGCAUAACAUGUACCUUUUUGUUUAAAUGCCAAAAAGAGGGUAGACACCUAUAUUUUAACAAACUAUGUUUUACUAAUUAAGCUUAAUCUCUAAUUGGAGUUGGGUCCAGUUUACAAUUUAUAAAGUCUUUCGAAAACAAAAGGUGAGGUGACUAAUGUUUUUUUAACAUUUAUAAUUGCAAGCUUCUUAAGUUAAUUAACAUAUGGAUUUUAAUUUUGGAAAGAGGAAUGAGUUUUUGGCAAUAUCCUGUUAGCAAAUUAAUGUGUAUUCAUGCUUUCCUCUUAAAUUUUUCUUUUUAAUUGUUGUUUACUAAUUGAAUUACUAUACAGAAUGAGUUGAGAUUUCAGUUGUUCUGGUCUCCCAUUCAUUGUCUCUCUGUCUCUUGUAAGUUGCGACGUAGAACCAUUUUGUUAGCUCUAUAAAGUUCGUAAGUGAUGUUUCUCAUUUUUCAGGUUGUUGGUUAUUAUAGACUGAGCAGCCUUAAUAGUUCUAUUUUGCUUAGUGUAUGCUCUUUUUUUUGCUACGAUUACGUCUUUAUUCUCAUGUCGAAGUGUACAUUGGAAUGAUGUCAAACACUUUGAUGAGUGAAUAUGCAUUACAUUCAACACAAGUACAUGCAUAAAGUAAAAUAUCCGGCAAUUUUAUUAUUAUGUAGAGAAUAUUUUUGUCAUGAUAGCAACUGCUAAAAUAGAGUAUGCAUGUGCUCUCAUCUCAUCAGCAUCGUAUCAAGCUUUUUUUAUUAUUUAUAAUUCUAGUGACUUUAUAGGUCAGUGUGACAUACCCAUAUUCAACUGUGCUACAACAUAAUCUCACGACUAUAAACACAUGAUGAGUUGAAACUAGAAUAGAAAAUAAUCAAUACCGGGAAAAAUUGUAUGGUUAGCUACAAUCCAAUUUCAGAUCAAAGCUGAUGUGAAUGUGUAUUUCUCUCAAUCAGAUAUAUUCCUUCCUCUCUGCAUUAUGGAACUCUGUUUAUCUCUAUUUUUCUCGAAUUAAUUACUAUUUUUCCCAUCUUUGCACUAGAAGGGAUCAACGAUCUGGUGGGUUGAUGGUUUUUUUUAAAGAUUGUGUAGAAAGUUCAUUAACCCUCUAUUCUAAUGUUUUUAAUUGAUUUGAUGGGUUACUCCCUGCUCAACUUAGCUUUGGGCUUUAUGUUUAUGCCGAGUAGAACGUCAAGUACUCUCAAUUUAUGUUCUUUAUCUUUUACAGAUCUUAUUCUCUACAUGCAUGUUGGGUCGUAGUUCUUUGCAGUUCAUUUAAUUGGAGUGUACCAAUAUUUUUAUUUUUGUAAACUGUGUAGAGGAUUCCUAGUUUGACUUAAACAUGUUUAAGCAUCAACUUUAGUUUAAGCCUUUAAUGUCAUAAUUCCCAACUUUCAAGUGUCUUUUUGCAAGUUACUCAACAUUAAAGCAAUUGAAGUGCACUUAAUUAUUCAUUUACUAUUUAAUUCAUGGUGUUACAGAUGGUUGUGAAAGGGAUUGCUAAAGACUUCACGAAUAAUGAAAAUAUCAACUUCGAGGAAAAUUGGCCCAAUAUACCCUCUCCGGUUUGAGUUUAAGGGUUUUGAUAUUUCAACUUUUUAUUCUAUAAAAUACUUUUUUAGUUUUGAGGUUUUGAGCACAUAAGUUUCUUGGGAUUGUGUUAUAGUACUCUUACUUGCUUACACUUGUUCACCAAUUACCGAAAAUAGAUAGCUGCAUGAUUUAGGAAUUAGACUAUUGAUAAUGAUUAUGCUGACUACGUCUGCUUCUAGAGAUUGAGAACGAGUGUCAAACAAAAGGAAAAAACUUGGAGAUGUUAAAGUUAUUUUGGAACUGCAUUAUUGAUAGUGAUUACACUGGCUACAUCUAAGUUCUGGUGAUAUACUAUGUUCGUUGCAGAACAAUUAGCAAUGCUCAUUACGCAACAAAAGACGCAACGACAGUGAAGUCGUUGCCAAAACCCUUUUGCAACGAAAUUUGGCACCUUUAGCAACAAAAAUUGGUUGUUGCUGAAGUCCCAUUUUUUUGUAGUGCAUUUACUCUAAGACCUCAUUCACGUGUAUUUCAAAAUGGCUAGCCUAUGUUCUUCAUUUUCUUCCAACUCCCAAGCUCAUGAUCAUGAGGGAGUGAUGAUUAUGAUGAGUUCCAACAAUCAAUCUAACAACUCCUCCAUAACCUUCAUGCAAUCCUACAAUCCAUGGGUUUGAUUCAAUGGAAAAUUUCUAUGUCUGUGUAUUGAUUUUUCUAUAAAUAAGAGCUCCUUCCAUUUUUCCAAGUGUUGAGAAUUGCUAAGUGAGAGUUGAGAGCAUACAAGUAAUCUAGAGCUUGAGAGUUCAUUAGGAGCAAGUUCAUUGUAAUUAUAAAGGUAUAAAAUUCCUUCUUAUUCUUCAUUUUCAGUUUCUGUUAAAUUUCCAUUCUUGAAAUUCAAAUUCUUGAUUUUGUGGAAUUGGUUGCUAAUGAGGUUGGGUAAUGUCCAUAUAGUUGUUAUAUGACCAUAUAAGCAUGAUGCAACUGAUAUAUGAUGGUUUAAAAUCGAAAUCAUGAGUAAUUUUUGAGGUUGGGCUGGAGUUCUGCCGAAGCAGACUGCUUCUGCGCCUGAAUCAGGCAUGACGCAGCUACGCCACAUUUGUAUUGAGGCGCAUCGCAACUGCGCCGGUUGCUGAAUUCAGUUGAGCAGUCAAUUUUCAAAUCUGAUCAAUAUUGGCUAGUUGUUUUGACUCAAGCUAGCAUGUAAGCAUGUGUAUGAUGUAUAUAUGGAUACGUUAACCUAAUGUGAGCAUGUUUAGACUAGACUUGCAUGAUUAACGAAGGCGUAUGAUUUACAUGGAGAUUUAGACUAAGUUUUGAAAACAAACUAUGUUAAAUAUCAUGUUCUACAAAUUGUGAACCUAGUAAGCUAUGCAUGACUAAUUUUGCACAUAGAUGAGUAUGUUGUAGUGUAUAUAGUUCUUUUGAGCAUGUUCAAACUUACUAAGCCUUAUGUUAGAAAUAUUUUCAAUAAGAAGCUUAGCCUAGUGAGCUAACAUGCAUGAUUUUUAAAUGGUUUAUAUUUUGACUUUGAAAGCAUGUGAGUAUGACUUGGAAAUGCAUGAAUAAACCUUUAGCUUAUUUUUAUUUGAUUAGUAAGGAAACAUGAGCAUGUUGAACCUAUUAGCAAAGCUUUGAAUGUGAAUAUUGUCAAGAUACCAUGAGGACUAAAAUCUGACAUUUGUGAUCAUGUUUGAUGACACUCUUAGACUCGCUCAUGUAGCAUAACCAUAUAUAUACCAUGUUUGUGUAGCACAUUUCAAGAAAAGCAUGAACGAAGCCUAUUUUCAACUAAAGCGGUGUUAGUUUCAUGUAUGUGUUAUAAAUACACACAAGCAUGCCUAAUAUGAGUUUUUUUUAAAUAUCUUGUAUGUUUAGAAAGCAAGCAUGCUAGACCUUGUGAAUUCAUGACUUUGAAUGGCCUUAAAUUGUUAAAAUGAGCAACUUAGAACCAUGUUAUGAAAGAAGGAACCUAGAUUGACUUAAGGAGCAUGAAAAGACCUUUAACAUGAUAAAUAUAUUAUGUGUUAUUGUUUUGGUUGAGCUGGAGAGAAACCACAAGGCAGCAGCUGAGUCUUGGAAUGACCAUAGGACGACGCAGCUGCGCCGGUCCUAGGCUUAGCCAUGGCGCAACUGCGCCAGUCUGGAAUCCCAGAUAGUGAAUUCUGACUUUUGGACAGCAACUUUCAUGAUGCCUAUGAUGCUAAAUGUGAUCUAAAACCUACUGAUGUAUAUAUAUAUGAGUGAUGCCUAGUUGAUAAUUCGGUGUUGCAUUGAAAUGAAAAGUCCAUGAGUAGGAGGUCUUAACCUUGAGCAUUCUUGAUUUGCUUGUGAAGUAACUAAGUAGUUGAUUCAUGAUGACUUAUAAACUGAUUUUGUACCAUAUGUGCAUACUUGUAUCGUGUCGAGCUUGAUUAAGGACGAUGUUAGCUAAUGAACACUGUAUAUUUAUAAUACGUUAUACUAGGAUUCUAAAGUGUUGAUUUAUUAACGUGGAUAAACUACGCUUAAGGCAAGUUUCUCUAACAUUACUCAAAUUUAUAUUGAGCAAGUAUCCGAACCUUACUCUUAUUGUGCAAGUAUAAUUACAUUCUUUAUUCGACAAAUACCGUAAGCUUAUCCCUUUGAAUACAAGUUAUAUUACUUUCUCGUUCAAAUGAGCUAGUAUUUUAAACCCUUAUGAAAGCUGUUAUUCAUGUUGAACUUGGUAUUGUCCAUUGAAUAUUGUGAAAGAGUCGAUGUCAUUUGAUUCGGCUAGACUAUAUGCAUGUUUAUAAAAAAAAACUGUCCAAACCAAUUAAGUGGUGCGAAAAUCUUGAAAACUAAGUUGAACAACCCCUUUGGUAAAGGGAGUGUAUGUCGUUGGAAACCCCAACACAUGAAUGAAUAUUAUUGUGGUGUUAUGCAUAACGUAUAGUAUUGUAGAUUGAUCAUCUAUAGUACUUGAUAUUUUAAGGUUAUCAGUUUAAUAUUGGUAACUCUAGUGGAAGUUCAAUAGUCCUUAGUGACUGCUCAGUAUAAAUUGUUAUCCAGUUGGAUACCUUGAUAGUCGUUGAAUUCAUAUAUAUUUGUUGAUUUAUAUUGAAUUAUCGUUCUUAUUCAAAGAAUUGUUGAUAUUUCUUACCCAUGAUGUUAUUCUGAUACUUUGAACUAUCCUAGAAAUGGCACUCCGAUAUUUCAAACCUUAUGAUAUUAUAUCCUAUACCCUUGUUGUAUAUUACUUGUUGGACAAUUUGUGCUCAUCCUUGCUUUUAAAAAAACCUUUCAGUUAAGGCAGAACAGGGAAGUGUAUCCGGGCAGGACAAGGGCAAGGGCAAGGCUACCGACUAGCUUGUCCUUUUUAUGUUCAAAGUCUAUUAUGUUGUAUUAAGACUAUUUCAGACUAUGUUUAAGCUUAAGUAGGAUCAUGUAAUAAGUCUUUAUUAGAUAUUAUUAUGUAAUCUAUUAAGCACUGUAGGUUACGAGACUUGGGGGAAUAAUUAUAAUAAAUUAUUGUAUAUUAUUUUAAAGUAGAUUUUUCGUUGUGUAUGCGUUAUUUUAGAUAUUGUGGUUUUACCAUGAGAACGUGAUGAACCGAAUUUGAGGGACCAAGUGGAGGUCCGAAUUUGGGGGUGUCACAGGUUGGUAUCAAAGCUAUAGUUAUAAACUUUAGGAACGAGAGUCCUUAGAUUAUAACUUAAGAAAACUUAGAGGUUAGGAAGGGAUAAAAAUCACGUAGAGUUUUCCCAAAGAGACUUAACGUGUUAUGAAAUGUAACUUCAUUCUAUACAAUGAACUUAUGUUUAUUUAACAUUCUGAUGGAGUUGUUUUUUGUCUUGUCUUAUGUUGGUGAUUGUAG
rnacentral:lncRNA from 1 species